AUGGCGGCCGCGGAGGGCAAGAAGAAGAUCAUGCUCAAGAGCUCGGAGGGUGAGGAGUUCGAGAUCGACAAGGCGGUCGCCAUGGAGUCCCAGACCAUCCGCCACAUGAUCGAGGACGAGUGCACCGACAACGCCAUCUGGCUCCCCAACGUCAACUCGAACAUCCUCUCCAUGGUUAUUGAGUACUGCAAGAAGCAUGUCCAGGCCAGCCCCAAGCCGGCCGACUCCGCCGCCGCCGCUGCCAGCUGCUCCACCUCUGCUGCAGCUGCGGCGCCAGCCCCCACCGAGGGCAUGAAGAGCUGGGACGCCGAGUUCAUCAAGGUCGACCAGGCCACCCUCUUCGACCUCAUCCUGGCUGCAAAUUAUCUUGACAUCAAGGGAUUGUUGGACCUUACUUGCCAGAUUGUUGCCGACAUGAUCAAGGGCAAGACUUCCGAGGAGAUCCGCAAGACAUUCAACAUCAAGAAUGACUUCACACCCGAGGAGUAG
rnacentral:rRNA from 1 species